AUGACAUGUGACAAUCAGUAAUGAUGGGUUAAGACACUACCUCUUAUACAUUAUGAGAUUGAGCACAUAGUAUAUAAAAAUAUGAAAUAAUGUAAAUUCUAUUGUCAAAUUAUACCCUUAGUUGUGAUGAUAUACACAGUAUUAGAGUCAAAAUCAGACCAAAAGUCAUAAAUUUAAAUUGUGCACGACCACUUGUUACUUGUACUUGUACUCCAUCACACAUCCUUUAAUUGUCCUGCGCCUUAAUCUCUACACUCUCACCUGCCCCAUACCCCAUUGAGAUUUGAGGCAAGGAUAUAGAUAACGUGUUGGGUGAAUGUAUAAUUGUCAUCACUAGUGACAUCUUAUCUCCCAAGGGGCCAAGAGCUAGCCAUUAAGCCAUUAAUAUGUGUGCAGGGAAAUUGUACCGACGAAGCACCUUGAAAACCAGUCCUUAGCUUUUUCGCACACUCCAUGCCUUACCUGGUCCAAAAAGGACGACUUGUAAAGCUGCCGGUGGCCUAUGAUUAACGUACCGCACAGUUGGUCCAACGCGACAGUGCGCAGAGCUGUCCAACAUUAAAAAAACAACACAUGACAUUGCUGUGAGGUUGGGUGGUAUGCCUGCACUCUGCACUCCUCGCCGUUGCGUAUAUCAACUCUGGCGGAACGGGUCAUGGAUAGUUCUUUGUGUGUUACAUGUAUUGGCUCGAAGGAUCAAGUAGCAGAUGUUCUUACCAAACCGCUUGGGGGGAUUCUUUUAUGCAUUUUCAGUCCAGAGUUUCUGAAGGAUCUCUAUCUUGUCGGGGCGUAUUACAGAUUAAUUAUAUUAGUUUAGCAGUUAUAUUUAUUUGUUGUAGAAUAAGUCUUUUGUUGUUCUUACUAAUUAAUAUGUAACCUCUUUCAAGACUAUCUUUGUUGUAUCUCUAUAUAUUCUGAUUAUCUCAAUAAAAUAUUAUCAUUCCAGA